UGCCGUUAUCAUCACCGCUCUUGAUACCUUCGGCGACAGCGAGCGAUUAUGUCCAGUACGAGCUUUGCCCUGGUGCCACCUUCCCAUCAUGGUCAAGCACGGCAUCAGCACUGCCACCGACAGCAUCUUGCCACCGGGAUUUAAACGACUUGCAUCGGCUUUCCGCCUUCAGUGGACACGGGAGAGCAGCGACGAUGUUGUUGCUCAAAAUCGCCUUCAGCUUUCAUAUGCAGUGAUUGCAGCACAGACCACCAAGACACAGUCCUUGAAUAGAAGAUUUCUUCCUGUUGGCCUCUCAUGGGCUGUUAUUGCUGCAGAUACGUCCGCCUUUUCGUUUCCCGGGAUUCUCACGUGGCUUGGAAUCCAACAGAGACGAAUUACUUUACCGUGAUUUUCACUUUCGCCGAGCAUACUGAGGAUGCUGCCGAGAAGAGGUAUUUUGCCCAUUUCCCCAGGUCACAUUGAAGAAACGUGACAGGGCCUCCACUGCUUUCUGGGACAGAACACCAAGUUGCCGAAGCCAUAAAAGUGAGCAGACGAGUUGCCGGUGCCACCUGGUAGAGCAGACUUUAACCAGACAGGACACAUCUAUUAUUGUAAGUAACCAACAAUAUUCUACUUAGCUGCUGGUGUAAAGUGUUGGCAGUGGCAUGAUUGAUAACAUGCAGCUUUUUUCAAUUCUUUGACAAUAACACCCAUGUAACACAAGAGCAUGUGCAGCACGUUGUGGCUGAACAAAGCAUCACAAGACAUCCUUACCAGCAUUGUUGCUGCAUUUCACACCUCCAAUAACUAAUACUGCAUAAAACAAGUCCAUUUAUUGGCAAUAAUAAGCUGUCUCACCUCACUUAAAUUUUUUGUUAAACUAGUUCAGUCACAGAAAAGUCAAUAACUGUACAUUGGCAUCUGUAGUGUGAAUUUAACACUACCAGCUUUGGAGGCUUAGUGGCUAUGGAGUUGCGCUGCUGAGCUCAAGGUCACCGAUUCAGUUCCUGGACACCAGGCCACAUUCCAACGGAAAUGAAAUCCAAAAGCGCUGAUGUACCAUGCUUCAGGUGCACGUCAGCUACAGAAUGAAAUGGCAAUUACAUAAUGUUGCCCAUGGUGGUGCCCACCCUGCUUUUUUUAGGCCAAACAGCUAGCCUUUCUGACUCGCCCUAUUCACAAGAAGUGAAUGGUGGUGUAGACUUUCACAACCCUUCAUAAAGAAUUGCAGGCAGUUGACCAGAGCCCACCACUAUGGUGUCGCCCAUAGCCUAUUAUGCCAGCUUCAGGACAUUAAACCCUACAGUUUAUUUACACACUAAAAUUACAAUGUUCACGAACACUAGCUUCAAACUGCGUUUUAGCAAAGCCGCAUGUCAAUGCACUGAAGCAUCCAUAUUAAACAUAUGCUAGCUCAACAUGGAGUGUACCCAAAUUAGAAUCCACUGAACGACAUUCAGUCGAUUUGUGCAAAUGGAUUUGUUCCACUGGAUAUCUCAAAUGUGCUCUCCAACCCUCCACAAAGUCACUUUGGCACUUUGUCAGAACCUCAAUGAUGCAAAAGUGAAAAAUGGUGUAUUUUUUAUCUGCUGCUCAGUCAUGUGCAGGUAUUUCUGGUGCAGGGGGCCUGCAGACAAAAAAAAUCACUGAGUGCAUACCUCAUUUUCAAAAACUGACUGCUGGAAAUAAUUUUAUAUGCUAUUAUAAGUAGGCAAGUUGCAAGUGAAGCAUUUAGAGCUUCACAAGCUGCCUAAGAGGGAAACAAGAGCACCUCUAUCCACUUUUAUGCUUGUAAGACAUGCUUUAAAAGAAGUAUAUUGUAAGUUUACUCAGCAUCACGGUUUCUAUAUGCCAGCUCAAGACAUGGGCAUUUUUGCAUCUUGCCCCCAUCAAAACACGACCACUGGAGCAGGGAAUUUAACCUGUGAUCUCAAGCUCAGCAGCACAACUCCAUAGCCGCUAAGCCACUGCUACGGGUUUGUCUGGUUCAUCAGACCCACAGCAGCUGUCACUAUAGAAGCCUCACCUGAUGGCAGAAUUAAAACUUACGUAAACUGCGUUUGUAACUACUAUUCAAAAGCAUUUUUCAUUCUCAAUCUGUACAUUGCUGACA